CGCGAAGAACCUUACCAGGUCUUGACAUCUUGCGCCAACCUCAGAGAUGAGGCGUUCCCUUCGGGGACGCAAAGACAGGUGGUGCAUGGUCGUCGUCAGCUCGUGUCGUGAGAUGUUGGGUUAAGUCCCGCAACGAGCGCAACCCUUGUUACUAGUUGCCAGCAUUCAGUUGGGCACUCUAGUGAGACUGCCGGUGACAAACCGGAGGAAGGUGGGGACGACGUCAGAUCAUCAUGCCCCUUAUGACCUGGGCUACACACGUGCUACAAUGGCCGGUACAACGAGCAGCUAACCCGCGAGGGUGUGCAAAUCUCUUAAAGCCGGUCUCAGUUCGGACUGCAGUCUGCAACUCGACUGCACGAAGUCGGAAUCGCUAGUAAUCGCGGAUCAGCAUGCCGCGGUGAAUACGUUCCCGGGUCUUGUACACACC
rnacentral:rRNA from 1 species